rnacentral:sRNA from 1 species
GCGGCACGGAGUGGCCCCUGGAAGGACAGCGCCUACAGGCAGUGUCUGUACCUUCAGCUGGAACACGUGGAGCAAAAGCUGCGGCUGGUGGGGCCCCGAGGCUUCCCUCAGCCCCACAGCCAUGCCCGGGCCCUCAGGCAGCUGCAGACCCUGAAGGGCGGCCUGGGGGUACAGCCGGGCACCUGGGCCCCUGCAAUGCCAGGUGCUGGGAUUUGCUGCUUUCUUUGCACUGGUCUUGAAGAGAGUGGACGAUGAGGAGGAUACUGUGGCCCCGCUGCCAGGACAUCUGUUGGGCCCAGACCCCUAUGCCUUGUUCCGAGCACGAAGAAACAGCAGCAGGGAUGUCUACCAGCCACCUCUCACCACUGCCAUUGAGAAGAUGAAAACCACCCACCUCAAGGAACAGAAAGCAUUUGCCCUCAUCAGAGAAAUCCUGGCAUACUUGGGCUUCCUGUGGUUGCUACUGCUGGUGGCCUAUGGGCAGAGGGACCCCAGCGCCUACCACCUCAACAGACACCUCCAGCACAGCUUCACCAGGGGCUUUUCAGGUGUGCUCGGCUUCCGAGAGUUCUUCGAGUGAGCCAACACCACCCUCGUGAGCAACCUGUAUGGUCACCCCCCAGCAGCUGCAGGCAUCUCUCAACGGAUGCCGUGCACCAUAUUCCCUGGAUGCUGAAGACCUGGCAGACUAUGGGGAAGGCUGGAAUGCCACCGCCCUCAGUAAUGGCAGUAGCUUUCCCCAGGCUUGGCAGUACCAGAGCCAGGACCAACGUCAAGGGUAUCCCAUCUGGGGCAAACUCACUGUGUACCGGGGAGGAGGCUACGUGGUCCCCUUGGGGACUGAUCGCCAAAGCACGUCAAGAAUUCUCCGCUAUCUCUUUGACAACACCUGGCUGGACGCCUUGACCAGAGCUGUGUUUGUGGAGUUCACUGUCUACAACGCCAACGUCAACCUGUUCUGCAUUGUCACGCUGACGCUAGAGACCAGCGCUCUGGGUGGGCAGCCUCGCCUGGGAACCCUCUGCAGGGCUCCAGAAGACAUAUACUCCUUCCCCUGGGCUGGGGCUCCUGACCUACCUGGGUGCAGCCACCCCGGGGCCAGAGCUCCAGAGCAAAUACUUAUUUAGUGAAUCUAGGUGUGGGUCUUGGUUAUCCUUGCAGCCAUGAGUCCCUGGGCCCCCGAAGGCAAAGCAUUAGGGCCCUCCACCCUAAUUCUUCCCAUCUUUCUGGCCUAGUCGCCCAAGUUAUCGUAAAACAGCCUAUUCAGAGUCCAAAGGCAGCUUAUCCAUUGCCUAAUCCCGAGCUUCCCUGUCUGCUGGGGUUGGGGGUGGUGACCUGGCAGUGACGGCGAGGGAGAAUGUGACGUAACAGAUCAUAUCACCUAAUAUAAUAUUUCACCAUACAUCAGUGCACAGCACAAAGUACGUUUUACAACAUAAUCCAGCACACAUGCAACCAAGAUGAAAUGUUCACAAAUAACAUGUACUUUAACUCCAUGAGGCCAGGCGUGGUGGUUCGCCCCCAUGAUCCCAGCACUUUGGGAGGUCAAGGUGGGAGGACUCCUUGAGCCCAGGAGUCCAAGACCAGCCUGGGCAUCAUGGUGAGACCUGGUCUCUAUAAAAUUUAAAAAACAAAAAA